rnacentral:rRNA from 1 species
UACGUAGGGUGCGAGCGUUAAUCGGAAUUACUGGGCGUAAAGCGUGCGCAGGCGGUUCGCCAAGUCAGGUGUGAAAUCCCCGGGCUUAACCUGGGAAUUGCGCUUGAAACUAGCGGGCUUGAGUGUGGCAGAGGGGGGUGGGAAUUCCACGUGUAGCAGUGAAAUGCGUAGAGAUCCGGAGGAACCCACGAGGCGGAAGGCGGCGCUCUGGCUCAGC